rnacentral:rRNA from 1 species
GUGGGGAAUAUUGGACAAUGGGGGGAACCCUGAUCCAGCCAUGCCGCGUGUGUGAAGAAGGCCUUUUGGUUGUAAAGCACUUUAAGCGAGGAGGAGGCUACCGAGAUUAAUACUCUUGGAUAGUGGACGUUACUCGCAGAAUAAGCACCGGCUAACUCUGUGCCAGCAGCCGCGGUAAUACAGAGGGUGCAAGCGUUAAUCGGAUUUACUGGGCGUAAAGCGCGCGUAGGUGGCCAAUUAAGUCAAAUGUGAAAUCCCCGAGCUUAACUUGGGAAUCGCAUUCGAUACUGGUUGGGUAGAGUAUGGGAGAGGAUGGUAGAAUUCCAGGUGUAGCGGUGAAAUGCGUAGAGAUCUGGAGGAAUACCGAUGGCGAAGGCAGCCAUCUGGCCUAAUACUGACACUGAGGUGCGAAAGCAUGGGGAGCAAACAGGAUUAGAAACCCGAGUAGUCC